rnacentral:rRNA from 1 species
UACGUAGGUGACAAGCGGUAUCCGGAUUUACUGGGCGUAAAGGGAGCGUCGGCGGAUAAUUAAGUGGGAUGUGAAAUACCCGGGCUCAACCUGGGUGCUGCAUUCCAAACUGGUUAUCUAGAGUGCAGGAGAGGAGAGUGGAAUUCCUAGUGUAGCGGUGAAAUGCGUAGAGAUUAGGAAGAACACCAGUGGCGAAGGCGACUCUCUGGACUGUAACUGACGCUGAGGCUCGAAAGCGUGGGGAGCAAACAGG